rnacentral:rRNA from 1 species
UUUUCUCAAGGAAGAAGAUCUGACGGUACUUGAGGAAUAAGCCACGGCUAAUUCCGUGCCAGCAGCCGCGGUAAUACGGGAGUGGCAAGCGUUAUCCGGAAUUAUUGGGCGUAAAGCGUCCGCAGGCGGCUUUGUAAGUCUGCUGUCAAAGCGUGGAGCUCAACUCCAUUUCGGCAGUGGAAACUACGAGGCUUGAGUGUGGUAGGGGCAGAGGGAAUUCCCGGUGUAGCGGUGAAAUGCGUAGAUAUCGGGAAGAACACCAGUGGCGAAGGCGCUCUGCUGGGCCAUAACUGACGCUCAUGGACGAAAGCCAGGGGAGCGAAAGGGAUUAGAUACCCCUGUAGUCCUGGCCGUAAACGAUGAACACUAGGUGUCGGGGGAAUCGACCCCCUCGGUGUCGUAGCCAACGCGUUAAGUGUUCCGCCUGGGGAGUACGCACGCAAGUGUGAAACUCAAAGGAAUUGACGGGGGCCCGCACAAGCGGUGGAGUAUGUGGUUUAAUUCGAUGCAACGCGAAGAACCUUACCAGGGUUUGACAUCCUGCGAAUCCCUUGGAAACGAGGGAGUGCCUUCGGGAGCGCAGAGACAGGUGGUGCAUGGCUGUCGUCAGCUCGUGUCGUGAGAUGUUGGGUUAAGUCCCGCAACGAGCGCAACCCACGUUUUUAGUUGCCAGCAUUCAGUUGGGCACUCUAGAAAGACUGCCGGUGAUAAACCGGAGGAAGGUGUGGAUGACGUCAAGUCAUCAUGCCCCUUACAUCCUGGGCUACACACGUACUACAAUGCUACGGACAAAGGGCAGCAAACUCGCGAGAGCUAGCAAAUCCCAUAAACCGUGGCUCAGUUCAGAUCGUAGGCUGCAACUCGCCUACGUGAAGGAGGAAUCGCUAGUAAUCGCAGGUCAGCAUACUGCGGUGAAUACGUUCCCGGGCCUUGUACACACCGCCCGUCACACCAUGG